rnacentral:snRNA from 1 species
AUACUUACCUGGACGGGGUCGAUGGGCGAUCAAUAAGACCCAUGGCCUAGGUUGGUGACCUCCAUUGCACUUUGGAGGGGUGCCAACUUAAGGUCGGCCCAAGUGGUCGAGCCUACGUCAUAAUUUGUGGUAGAGGGGGCCUGCGUUCGCGCGGUCCCUGC